UUUUGCAUUUGCUCUUACCACAUUUUGAUUCAUCAAACUUUUUUCCUCUCAUUACUAAAAAGAAAGAAGCUAAGUAUGGUUUCUGUUACCGAGUUUGUUCUCUGCGUAGAUGAAAAUGUAUGUGGAAGGUGCAUUGGAGGCGUCUUCACUAGAAGCAAUCAAGCAUUUGAGUGUGCUCACUCUAUUUAUGGAGAAGACGGUGACAACGAUGAUGAUGAUAUCUAUGACUAUGCUCCAGCAGCAUGAAUGGAUCAUAUGAAUCAUUAUUUUGUACCCUUUUUUAAUAUCUAUGAUUCUUUUUUUGCCUAGGGUUUAUUUAUGUUUAGUUGAUUAAACACUUCUGUCACUAUAAGUCAUUGAAUAUAUGCUUCUCUCGACUUUUUUGUCUC
rnacentral:lncRNA from 1 species